AUACGAAAGGUGCAAGCGUUGUUCGGAUUUACUGGGCGUAAAGAGAUCGUAGGUGGUUUGUUAAGUCGGAUGUGAAAUCCCGGGGCUCAACCCCGGAACUGCAUCCGAUACUGGCAGGCUAGAGUUUGGGAGGGGUAAGCGGAAUUCCGUGUGUAGCAGUGAAAUGCGUAGAUAUACGGAGGAACACCUGAGGCGAAGGCGGCUUACUGGACCAAUACUGACACUGAGGAUCGAAAGCGUGGGUAGCAAACAGGAUUAGAAACCCCAGUAGUCC
rnacentral:rRNA from 1 species